rnacentral:lncRNA from 1 species
AGUGCCCACGGUUUCUCACUGACAGUGCAGCUCGUUUCUCAGAGCCGGCGGAUGUUCAUGGGCAGCACCAUCGAGCCAGAAGCAGUAUUUGUCCUGGGGACUCAAUGUCAAAAAAACUAAUGAGAUGAAAAUGACUGAAUUUAGAAUUGGAUUUUGGAAAGUUUGUCAAACAUCAAAGACUUAAAACACUUGAUAUCACAAAACAGGAUCACAGGUUAUCGGGGGACCUGCGCCGAUAAUCACGUAG